GGGAUGAUUCCCAUUUUAUGCUUAGACGGGCAGGAGGAGCGAGCGGUACGGGAGGCAGAAGAAGCCCGGGGGAGGCCGGCGGACGCUGCGGAGGAGGGCGGAGCAGCCGUUAUCAAUGUCCUGUCGAGGUAUACACACGGUGUGGACGCCUGAGGGAUGACUUCUUACCACCAUAAGACGACUUGCAUCCACCGUGGGCAGGGACUUUGCUAUGAAAGUGUCAUCCAGGAGUUUCCUGAUGGACUGUUCGAGACGUUCUGAAGGAGCACCACAUCAUGGACAAGGUUAAGAACCGGAAAGAAAAGGCAAUGCUAGGCUCGAAGAUGCCAAGACGCAUGUACCAUGAGGACUACGAUGCUGAGCAAUGGCCUGGGGUCAUUAGGAGAAACGUUUGGGAUCCGCCAUUGCAGGAACGGCUUUGGGAAUGUGAAGCACUGGAGAUAUGCUAGUCACGUCUGCUGCACAGAUGCUGGAAAUCUUGCAGAGGUCAGGUAAACAUCAUCCGAGUCUUGUAGGACGCCCAGACAAGGUUUGUGGACCUGGUGUUGCUGGGUGUCUUUGGCACAGAGUACACAAGGAACACAGACCGAAAACAGCUGACAGCCCCUGACCCUUUAUACCAGGCUGGAUGGGUUGGUGAGGGUUAAACUUUGCUAUGUACGAAGUAAUGUUAAUAUCCAUAUAUAAGUAUACACUUUAAAUCAUAUUAACAUUAUUUUCCACAUUUUGGCCUAUACCCUGGCGAUUAUUAGUGUUGUAGCUCAGCAGAUUGUACGGUCUGUCGAUGUAGGCAAUGAAAUCCUAUGUAACUGUGAUAUACUUUGAGAUCCCAAUAAAGUUUAAAAAAACUUUUUUUUUACCCUA